rnacentral:sRNA from 1 species
ACCAUUGAACAAUUCGAAGAGUUAUUAUUGUGAAUAUAUUUGUUUUUAAAAAUAUGUCCAAAUAUAUUAACUUCAAAUUUGUUCAUAUAACAAAUGUAUAUACGGUGGCUUUUUAAAUUUUUAAUUUUAGAAAUGUCAAUCCAUAUAUAUCACAGAGAA